GAAACGUGGUCGCUUGGGUCGCCGAGCGAGAUGACUGGGUGCGCCCAGAUAAACAAGUCAGACACGCAGUCGGUAGUAAGGGAUGGGCCCAAAACGGCAGGGCCAAGGCGAGGGAGCAUUUUUGUUACCGAAAAGCCCCUGAAGCAAUAAUUGAAGAACAUUAGGUUAGCUGAAAAGCAUUUGGCUCGCUGAGAAGGUCGGCUUGGGUGUUUUGUGUUUGCAGGGCAGCACCUGUUGUAAUGUCCCUGCCUGUAGACGUUUUACCCCCACACCUCCAUUUUUUAAACAUUUUUCUCGCAUGGAGAAUUGGUUGGUGAUUUGGCCGGCUAGAGGUAUCCGAUUGAUCUGCUGCUGAUGCUCCAUCUAGGUUUCAGGAUCCGACCGGACCUCUGUGUGACUGAAAUGAACCAUCUGUUACCUUCGAAUACAAGUGAGGAAAAGGUCGAGUGAAGACAAUAGAUUAAUCCCUUUGGCAACAGGCAUCGGGCUAAAUACUGAGCCUACAAAGUGAGUGCAAUACUGUCCCUGCCUUCAAGAAGCUUACAAGCUAGUAGAGGACACGGGCAUGUAAAUACAUAAGCACAGUUGAGAGAGAUGCUUGCGAUAAAGAGAGACAUGCAGGGAGCUGGAAUAGAGGAAUUGAAGGGGUUGGUAGAGCACAAGGGGACCGCCGCGUGUUGAGGAGGGAAUGCAGGGUGUGAAGAAAGAAUACUUAAGAUGCUCCUUCUUGCCACCCCGUCACAGUCCAUUAUCUGCCUGGCUGCUGCAGCGCAGAUAUAGCGUGAAUGACAAAAUAAAGCCACUGCGUGUGCCCGUGGUUCCUCACCCUGGACACCUACACUUGGAGUGUGGAAUUCUAACUCUUUCGCCUGGUAUGUGAGACUCGGCCUAAGCUGGCUUCCCGCCCAGAUUUAUCUAUUGCCACUCUCCUCCAGACCGCCUUUCUCACUGACUCGACUGGUCGGAACGGAAUGUGUUCUCAACACGCUGCGGCUUUUCCUUGCUCCUGGGAUGCCCUCCCCAUUGCAGGGUCUCCCUGUCAGGGUUCAGCCAAAAUGGAACAACCUCUCUGAAGUCUUCCUCAAUGUCACCUUCCGUCUGGGGGAAUGAGCACACAAAAGGCCAAAGGCACCUGCAUCAGGCAGCUGGGAGGAGCUCAUUUCUAAACAGCUUGAACCUAGGGGCGCCUGGGUGGCUCAGUUGGUUGAGCGUCCGACUUCGGCUCAGGUCACGAUCUCCCGGUUCAUGGGUUCGAGCCCCGCAUCGGGGCUCUAUGCCGACAGCUGGGAGCCUGGAGCCUGCUUUCAGAGUCUUCUUCUCCCUCUCUCUCUCUGCCCCUCCCCCGCUCACACUCUGUCUCUCUCUGCCUCUCAAAAAAAAUAAAUAAAUGUUUAAAAAAAAAAUGUAAACACAAUGAACCUAUUAAGAAAGUCAGAAACACGGUGCAAAAAAACAAAUACCAUCAAUCAAGACUGUGUUAUGAACUUUGAAUAACUGUGAUUUGAGAUGCACAUUCCUGGAACAAGCAAUGACAAACCGGUCAUAGGUCCAUGUAAACAAGGAGACAGCACAGGCCCAGGGCCCGGACCAUGAGAGAAGAGGAAGAUUAGCACGUUUUCAAAGCAUUUCCCUCAUCUGCCAGGAGUUUAAUCUGGGAAAGGUUGGAAUUAAAUUCUGGACCAUACUGUUUGUCACUCCAUAUAACUGUAUUUAAACGUAUAUUAAAGUUAAAUGAAUAGUAAACUCUGUAAGCCUAUUUUAUGUUUUGAGUUUUAUGGUUUAUAAGUACUAAUUCCUGUUACCAUGAUAAAGUCAUGAGUUGAAAGUGCUAAUUCAAAUAUUUUUUCAAGUUUAUUUAUUUAUUUUGAGAGAGAGAGAGACAGAGCAUGAGCAGGGGAGGGGCAGAGAGAGAGAG